GCCUGGGUGGCUCAGUCGGUUAAGCGUCUGACUUUGGCUCAGGUCAUGAUCUCCUGGUUCGUGAGUUCAAGCCUCGUGUCGGGCU
rnacentral:tRNA from 1 species